rnacentral:lncRNA from 1 species
GGGUUGAUGUUUUAGGGUUUAGAGUUCAUGGUUUAGGGUUUAGGGUUUAGAGUUGAUUUUUCGGGGUUUAGGGUUUACAGUUGAUGUUUCGGGGUUUUGGGUUUGACUUUCAAAAAAAUAUAGGGUUUAGGAUUGAUGGUUUAGGGUUUAGAGUUCGUAUUUCAAAAAAAAAAAAUAGCAUUUAGGACUGAUGGUUUAGGGUUUAGAGUUGAGUUUUUGGGUUUAGGGUUUGAAUUUCGAAAUAGCAUGAUUCGAAAAAAAAAUUAAAAAAAUAUAUUUUUAUUUUUUAGAUUUUUAUUUAUUUAAAUAUAUAUUUAUUAUAUAUAUAAAGAACAAGUGCAUAAGAGUCUUUUGGCACUUAAUGAAUAAGGUAUUUUUGAAAAUGUCAAUUUAGUGGUGGUAAAAAUGAAAAGUGAUAGCAAGAAAGUGUUAAACAUGUAAUUUCCUCUAACACAAAUUGUAUGCUGAAGGGAAAAAAGAAUGGGAAAAUUACAUGUUUACCACUUACAUGCUAGCACUUUUUUUUUUACCAACACUAAAGGGACAUUUUCAAAAACAGCUUCUUCUUUAAGUGCCAAAAGACUCUUAUGCCCUUGUUCUUUACAUAUAUAAUAAAUAAAUAAAAAUCUAAAAAAUAAUUUUUUUUUUUUUUUUGAAUUA